rnacentral:rRNA from 1 species
ACGGACGAACCUCUGGUGUGCCAGUUGUCCCGCCAGGGGCACGGCUGGUUAGCUACGUUCGGAAGGGAUAACCGCUGAAAGCAUCUAAGCGGGAAGCCUGCUUCAAGAUGAGGUAUCCCAUCCACCUUUGGUGGGGUAAGGCCCCCAGCUAGACGACUGGGUUGAUAGGCCGGAAAUGUAAGCUCGGUAACGGGUUCAGUUGACCGGUACUAAUAGGCCGAGGACUUGACUAC